CGAACGCUGGCGGCGUGCCUAACACAUGCAAGUCGGAUGCGAAAAGCUGCUUCGGCGGAUGAGUAGCAUGGCAGACGGGUGAGGAACGCGUACCUGACCUGACGCUCGAUGGGGGAUAGUCCUCCGAAAGGAGGUUGAAUACCGCGUACGUUCCAUGCUUCGGUGCGUGGAAGACAGGUGGCCUCUGCAUGCAUGCUACUGUCGAGCGAGGGGGGUGCGUCCUAUUAGUUAGUUGGUGGGGUAAUGGCCUACCAAGACGGCGAUGGGUAGCUGGUCUGAGAGGAUGAUCAGCCACACUGGGACUGAGACACGGCCCAGACUCCUACGGGAGGCAGCAGUGGGGAAUUUUGCGCAAUGGGCGCAAGCCUGACGCAGCAACGCCGCGUGAGUGACGACGCCUUUCGGGGUGUAAAGCUCUGUGAGGAGGGACGAAGGCUCCGGGUGAAGAGCCCGUGAGGAUGACGGUACCUCCACAGCAAGCCCCGGCUAACUCC
rnacentral:rRNA from 1 species